AGAGUUUGAUCCUGGCUCAGAACGAACGCUGGCGGCGUGCUUAACACAUGCAAGUCGAACGCGAAAGGGACUUCGGUCCUGAGUAAAGUGGCGCACGGGUGAGUAACGCGUGGAUAAUCUACCCAAUGAUCUGGGAUAACAUCUCGAAAGGGGUGCUAAUACCGGAUAAGACCACGAAGUCUUAGGACUUUGCGGUAAAAGGUGGGGACCUUCGGGCCUACCGUCAUCGGAUGAGUCCGCGUACCAUUAGCUAGUUGGUGGGGUAAUGGCCUACCAAGGCUACGAUGGUUAGCUGGUCUGAGAGGAUGAUCAGCCACACUGGAACUGAGACACGGUC
rnacentral:rRNA from 1 species